rfam:Gossypium raimondii chromosome 2, whole genome shotgun sequence.
AUGUAAUGAGGGCACUUCUGUAAUAAUUCUUUACACCUUUCCCAUGCCUUAGACUAGAACUCAUAAUCCAUUUUUUGGAAAGUAGUGAUCUCGUUCCUCAACUU